UGUUUCCUUCAUUAUUUUAUACUGUAAUGAUUCAUCUAACUGUUCAUCUAGUUGAUGAGGUAAAAAAAAAGGUGGCUCGGUACAUUAUUGCUGGAUAUAUUCCGUUGAAAGGUAAGAUAUUCGUUAUUCAAAAUCAUUUUAGUUGAUUUUGCAGUAGUAUUUCAACUUAAAUGCUUCGUCUUACACAUUAAUAUUUAUGGGUAUAGAUAGUUGGCCAUUUUAAGUCCCUUGUAGGGAACAAAUCAUAAGAACAAGGUUACAUAGCUGAAGGUUACAUAGUGGAAGAAGCUCUUACUCUUUAUUCUGGUUAUUUUGAGGAAAUUGAGUAAAGGUUAAAUUGACCUAAACAUGUAAAUGAUGAACCAAGACAAAAUGAGGCUUCUGAAAAGUCAAGUAUGUUCCCUCAACAUGGUAAGCAUGUUGGAGACUUCAUAAAAGAAUCAUUGACUCAUUUGGAGUAAAAACAAGCUCAUCGAUAUGUGUUACUUAAUUGUGUGGCCGUGAAUCCAUUUAUUGAGUAAGAAAUAUACAUUGAUUCGAUUUGUGCAAUAUGUUUUUAGAAAUUUAAUUAAAAUUGCUAAUUAUAAUGCCUUAUAGUGAAUUUAGAGAUUACAUCAAAAGAAGUACAAGAGGCCAAAGAGUUUCAACAGAGGAAGAGAGAAGAUUUAGUAAAGAGUUCACUGAUUGGUUUCCUAAGAGAGUGAGUGAAUGAUAUUAGAAUUUUUUUAAUAUAACUUUCUUAUAUCAAUUUAUAAUUUUUGAUAUAAGUGCUUUAUAUGUUUAGAUUACGAAUCCGGAUAUAACAGAUACCAUCUCUGAUAAUAUGAAGUUCUCAGCCUAAGGUCCAGCCCGAGAUGCAAGAAGAUUCAGCACUUAUAACAUUAAUGGAUUCAAAUUCCGAACUUUGUCUAGAGAACAAGGAUUAAACACUCAAAAUAGUGUAGUUUUUCUUGUCUCUAACACUUCUUGUGUCGCAUCUAGUGCAGAUAGACAUGCAACACUAGCAGACCUGCCAUAUUAUAGAAAGUUGAAAGAUAUUAUUGAGCUUAAUUAUUUUGGCUAAUUUAGGGUUGUUCUUUUUAAAUGCCAGUGGGAUGACACUACUCGGAACAGAGGAUUCAAAAUAGAUGCUUAGAAGUUUAAUUGUGUCAACUUUUCCAAAUUAAGUGUGGUUGUACAUCUAAAACCAAGAGAUUUAUCUAACAUGGGAGAGGUUGAUGAAGAGGAAAAAUAUGAGAAUGAGCCAUACCAACAAAAAUUUGAAUAAUUGUUUUGACGUUGAUUACGAGAACGUCCAAAUUACAAUAGAGGGGCAUAUGACUGAAUAGAUAUAUCAUUAUUUUUUAGUUGCCUUUGGCACUUUGUUUUUCUCGCUUGAUUAGUGGUUUUUUUCAAAGAAUUCUUAUUUUUUGGCUAAGAAAGUUAUCUUUAUUCUUUAUAUAAUUCUUGAUACAUUUGUUUUGUUUUUCCAUUCUUAGUGUUUAAUCAUGAAAGGAUCUUCUGGUAUGUUAUGUGGUUUCUUAUCUCAAGGCAAAAAACUAGAGAACAGGAACUGAUUGGGGGUCUUGAUUGUACAAUUCACAAAACUUCUAUGGCAUCCAAGUAACGGAGUGAUUUUCUCAUUUUGAUUAAGCAGAUACAUUUGUUUUGUUUCUUCAUUCUUAGUUCUUAAUUAUGAAAGGAUCUUCUGGUAUGUUAUGUGGUUUCUUAUCUCAGGGAAAAAAACUGGAGGACAGGAACUGAUUGGGGUCUUGAUUGUACUGUUCAUAGAAACUUCUUUGGGAUCCAGAUAUGCCAAGGUUCAAGUGGUUGCAGAAAAAGCAAAAACUAGGUCCGUUGGUAUCUGCAUUACAAGGACUCAUCACAGCCAUCUCCUAUUGGUCGGGACUCAUCACAUCCAUCACCGGUUCGUCGGGACUCAUCACAACCAUCUCCUGUUCGUCGGGACUCAUCACAGCUAUCACUUGUUGGUCGAAACUCAUCACAGCCAUCUCCUAUUUGUCGGGACUCAUCACAUUCAUAUUCGGUUGGUCCGAACUCAUCACAGCCAUCUCGAUCAAUUCACUCUACAUCACAUCUAGGUAUGACAAAUCAAGACUCAUCAUAGUCAUCUCGA